CACGUAGGCGGUUAGGUAAGUCGGAUGUGAAAGCCCUGGGCUUAACCUGGGAACUGCAUUCGAUACUGCCUGGCUAGAGUAUGGGAGAGGGAAGCGGAAUUUCCGGUGUAGCGGUGAAAUGCGUAGAUAUCGGAAGGAACACCAAUGGCGAAGGCAGCUUCCUGGCCCAAUACUGACGCUCAGGUGCGAAAGCGUGGGGAUCAAACA
rnacentral:rRNA from 1 species